rnacentral:rRNA from 1 species
AACCUCCGCAAUGCGAGCAAUCGCGACGGGGGGACCCCAAGUGCCACUCUUAACGGGGUGGCUUUUCUUAAGUGUAAAAAGCUUUUGGAAUAAGGGCUGGGCAAGACCGGUGCCAGCCGCCGCGGUAACACCGGCAGCUCUAGUGGUAGCCAUUUUUAUUGGGCCUAAAGCGUUCGUAGCCGGUUUGAUAAGUCUCUGGUGAAAUCCUAUAGCUUAACUGUGGGACUUGCUGGAGAUACUAUUAGACUUGAGGUCGGGAGAGGUUAGCGGUACUCCCAGGGUAGGGGUGAAAUCCUGUAAUCCUGGGAGGACCACCUGUGGCGAAGGCGGCUAACUGGAACGAACCUGACGGUGAGGGACGAAAGCCAGGGGCGCGAACCGGAUUAGAUACCCGGGUAGUCCUGGCCGUAAACGAUGUGGACUUGGUGUUGGAAUGGCUUCGAGCUGCUCCAGUGCCGAAGGGAAGCUGUUAAGUCCACCGCCUGGGAAGUACGGUCGCAAGACUGAAACUUAA